UUUGAACUUCGACAACAAAUUGUGGUGAUGACUAAUCCGUGUAAACUUUGACUUGCGUUACCGUUUUGAUUUGAUAGAUCAAUAGACAUCUACUCAACUGAAGCAUGUAAGAGAGGUUGAGAUUAGAUGGUAACAGUUAUACUACAAUUUGGCCCAGUUCGAGGAUUAGCUAUAGCUUUGGUCAUGGAUGGACCGUGCAUGUACAAGAGCAUUUUCCUUGGUAUAUGCUUGUUGCUGAUAGAUGAGUCAAGGCUUAAUUAGAAACUUGGAGUGAUGGAGGAUAACCUAGUCUUGGGAUUUCAGGUGGAGCAGAACUAAAAUGUGAUAUAAGUUUUGCAGUUUUAGAAUGCAAGGAAAACAAAAUGGGGUGAGGUUAAACUGGUUAGAGUAUGAGUCUUGCAAAGUGGUCAUUUUCACUGCUAUGGGACAGUGAGGAGUUUCUUACUCAUAGGAUUUAGGAAGCAUGGUUGAAUGGAGUAGUAGAAAGAUAAAAAAGUUAAAUGGAAAUUUGAGAGAGAGUCAGACACAGCAGCUUAAAACUCCCUA
rnacentral:misc_RNA from 1 species